UGGCGUCCGCGCGGGAGUGCACACCUGAAUGCGCUGAGAGGACGGCUAAUGGUGCCGUCGACCGUAUGAACCUGACCGGGUAAUGCCGGCGUAGGGAGCUUCUGAGAUGACCGC
rnacentral:ncRNA from 1 species